rnacentral:rRNA from 1 species
UACGUAGGAGGCGAGCGUUGUCCGGAUUUACUGGGCGUAAAGCGCGCGCAGGCGGCACACUAAGUACGAUGUGAAAUCUCCCUGCUCAACGGGGGAGGGUGCAUAGUAAACUGGUGAGCUAGAGGACGGUAGAGGGGGGUGGAAUUGCUGGUGUAGCGGUGAAAUGCGUAGAGAUCAGCAGGAACACCCGUGGCGAAGGCGGCCCCCUGGGCCGAACCUGACGCUGAGGCGCGAAAGCUAGGGGAGCAAACGGG